CGCGUCUUAAGCAUGCAAGUCAAACGGGAUGUAGCAAUACAUUCAGUGGCGAACGGGUGAGUAACGCGUGGAUGAUCUACCUAUGAGAUGGGGAUAACUAUUAGAAAUAGGUAGCUAAUACCGAAUAAGGUCAGUUAAUUUGUUAAUUGAUGAAAGGAAGCCUUUAAAGCUUCGCUUGUAGAUGAGUCUGCGUCUUAUUAGCUAGUUGGUAGGGUAAAUGCCUACCAAGGCAAUGAUAAGUAACCGGCCUGAGAGGGUGAACGGUCACACUGGAACUGAGAUACGGUCCAGACUCCUACGGGAGGCAGCAGCUAAGAAUCUUCCGCAAUGGGCGAAAGCCUGACGGAGCGACACUGCGUGAAUGAAGAAGGUCGAAAGAUUGUAAAAUUCUUUUAUAAAUGAGGGAAUAAGCUUUGUAGGGAAAUGACAAAGUUAUUGCCGUUUAUUUAUUAA
rnacentral:rRNA from 1 species